rnacentral:rRNA from 1 species
GACGAACGCUGGCGGCGUGCUUAACACAUGCAAGUCGAACGGAAAGGCCUCUUUCGGGGGGUACUCGAGUGGCGAACGGGUGAGUAACACGUGAGUAACCUGCCCUUUACUUUGGGAUAACUUCAGUAAACUGGGGCUAAUACCGGAUAGGAGCUCCUGCUGCCUGGUGGGGGUUGGACAGUUUGGGCGGUUUGGGUUGGACUGGCGGCUUAUCAGCUUGUUUGUGGGGUAGUGGCUUACCAACGCUUUUUCGGGUAGCCGGCCUGAGAGGGUGACCGGCGACAAAGGGAAUGAGAGACGGGCAAGAGUCCAAAGGGAGGAAGAAGGGGGGAAAAAUGAAAAAGGGGUGGAAGCCGGAUGCAGAAAAGCAGUGGGCGGGAAGACGGGCUUGGGGUUGGAAAACGAAUUCGCUCAUGAAGAAGCUUUGUGUGACGGUAGUGGGUAAAGAAGCACCGGCUAACUACGUG